GAAUGCCUUACCUAGGGUCAUCUUCUUAGCAGGAGAGGUUGUGGAAACAGCAGGCACCAUGACAUGAGGGGAUGGCUGGGGUGGAGAUAACAUCCCCGACCUGAACAGCAAGCAGGAGAUUUACAGGCCUAUGAGUCUGGCACCUGAUUCAGCAGAAUCCCUUUGUUUUAUUACACCCUGUGAAAUUCAAUCAUUCCCAGGGAAGGCCUUUUGCCUGGGAAGGGGGAGAUUCAGGCUCUGGUUAAGUUAGGAUUAAGUUGCUGAUUUCAGCAAAUGAAAAUUAAUGACAGCUGCUUGUCUCCCAUUUGUGGGGGACACCUGCCGAGGUAACUCAGCCUCCCCAGUGUCAGGAUGAGGGCUUGGAUAAGUUCUUGGGGCAGGUGAUGCCCAUUUGGAUGCUUUAGCGCACCUCGCCCUUACCUCGUGGACUCUGACAUUUCAAAGGGUCCUCUACCAGGCACUGGGGACAC
rnacentral:lncRNA from 10 species